CAAUGAGUCUGACAUGUGUGCGAGUCAACGGGUGAGUAAACCCGUAAGGCGUAAGGAAGCUGAUUGGUAGGAUCCCUCACGGGUGCACUACCGACCGACCUUGAUCUUCUGAGAAGGGUUCGAGUGUGACUCUGGUGGAGGCCCGCAGCGAUACUGACGUGUAAAUCAUUCGUCUGACUUGGGUAUAGAGGCGAAAGACUAAUCGAACCAUCUAGUAGCUGGAUCCCUCCGAAGUUUCCCUCAGGAUAACUGGAGAUCGGAAACGAUUUCUAUCGAGUAAGGCCAAUGAUUAGAGGCAUCGGGGGCGCAACGCCCUCGACGUAUUCUCAAACUUUAAAUAGGUAGGACGGGGUGCUGCUUUGUUGAGCCAUCCCACGGAAUCGAGAGCUCCAAGUGGGCCAUUUUUGUUAACCAGAACUAGGGAUGCGGGAUGAACAAGAAGCCGGGUUACGGUGCCCAACUGUGCUCUAACCUAGAACCCACAAAGGGUGUUGGUCGAUUAAGACAGCAGGACUGUUGUAGGCACAGGGGGGGUAACCCACAAAUUGAUAGGUGGUUCGCUGACUGGUCGAUCCUAGAUAUGAUCUAGUGAUCUAUAUGAGCCGAAUGAAGGCUGAUCAAGAAAGAUGUACCUGAAACGAAUGCAAAAGGAUUAAAAUGAAUUAAACUAAGAACAAAACAGAGAAUGAGAAUAUGAUGGAAAGAUAGAAAGGAUGGUCGAAAUGGUGGAUGCAAUGGAGCUAAGCUUG
rnacentral:ncRNA from 1 species